ACAACAGGAACUCUUUCUAGAUUGGUUCCAUUGAUGCUUUGUCCCUGAAGUCAGGAAAUACUCUGCCAGUAAGGAACUGCCUUUUGUAGUUCCUUUGAUAUUGGACAAUGCCCCUGACCCCACAGAACUCCGUAAGUUUAACACUUGCGGGUGUCAUCAAAGUGGUCUACUUGCCCCCAAACAUAGUGUCUCUAAUCCAGCCUGUAGGUCAGGGGGUCUAACGACCUUUAAGGCUCAUUACACACUGUGCUCUGUGGAAAGGAUUGUCAGCACUGUGGAACAGAAAGAACGCAGCAGACAGAACUUCAUGAAAGUCUGGGAAGAUUACACCAUUGAGGACGCCAUGGUUGUUAUAGAAAAAGCUGUGAGAGCCAUCAAGCCUGAAACAAUAAAUUCCUGCUGGGGAGAACUGUGUCCGGAUGUUGUGCAGGACUUUGCAGGAUUUAUGACAGAGCCAAUCAAGGAAAUCAUGAAAGAGAUUGUGGAUAUAGCAGCAAAGAUGGGGGAGGGGUGAAGGGUUUCAAGAUAUCUUGAAGAAAUUCAAAUGCUAAUAGACAUCACAUCAGAGGGAUGAACAGAAGGCCACACUUGAUGGAGAUGAACCAAUGCCAGACGAUGAAGAAGAAGACGCAGAAGGAGCAGAGCCAAAAAACAAAUUGACAUUAGAGCAAUCUGGCAGAAGGGUUCUGAUGACUGAAGACCGUUUUCAACUUCUUUUAUGACAUAGACCCUUCUAUGAUAUAGACACUGAAACGGAAGUCAGCGGCAGAAGAUGGAUUGGUACCACAUAGAAACAUUCUCAGAAAAAUCAAGUAAGUCAGAGAGAAAUUAUGGCAUAUUUCCAUAAAGUUACAUUGAGUGUGCCUGCCCGCCCCCCGCCUCCCCUUCUGCCUCCACUUUCCCACCUCUGCCUCCCAAGACAGCAAGACUAGCUCUUCCUCUUCCUCUUCCUCCUCAGCCUACUAACAAUGGGCCUAUUAACAUGACGAUGACAAAGAUGAAGACCUUUAUGAUGAUCCUUUCUACUUAAUAAUAAUCAUCAUGCUGUACAGUUAAUAAACUUCUCUGUUGUGGAUGUGUGUGUUUUCAUGCAAACAUCUAAUAACUGUGUUUCUUGAGACAAAAAUGAGACAUUUUUGUGUCAUCAUCAUCAUCAUCAUUGCCUAAGUAUUCAUCAUGUAGAACAUUGUGUGCAAGACUUGUAUGGAAGUAGACAGCCUAUCAUUACACAUGUGAAUGAUAUUUAAUCAUAUAAGAUACAGACACUUUUUUAUCUUUCCAAGGUGAUACUGGGAAAACAGGAAAUAUCAGUGAUUUGAUGUAACAAAGAAAACCCUUGUUACUGUACAUAGAAGCUCUGUCCAUUUUCUUGAUCUUAUUCUAUUGGAGCAGAGGUUUGAAAAGGCCUACUUUGUAGACAUUAUCUUUAAGAGAAUCCUUCAAAUUCGAAAUAACUUGGUUGGACUAUUCAGAAGGAUCUACGCCUCCCUCCCUCAGAUUUCCAGCCUUGAGUAUCUGUUUAAAAACCAGUAAAUGAGAAUUAACCACAGCUAUGCCCAUGAAGGCUCGCCUGGAAUUCAAGAUGAAUUUAAUCGGGAGUGGUCACUUACACGAUGGAGGAUGUGACUGCAGGCAACAGAGGGCUGGUGUGUAAUUUCCGAUGGCCCUUUAAAUUCUGGACUUGGCUUCCCUCCUGGCCGUGUGCUGCCGCUGACCUGCGUGUAGUUCUGGGCGGCCACGCUGAAGAAGGUCUCCUGAAAUGUUCUGGGCUGCAGCCAUUUCCUUACUGCAGAUGAAUAAUGAAUGAGCUGUGGUGAAAGCUAAUGGUUCAAGAUAAAAAUCAGAAGCUCACUGCGAAGUGGGUAAUGUUCCUUUGUCAUCUCCAUGGAAACUGCUAUUUAUCAAGACAUGCUAGUAUUUCAGAAGAUGGUAAGGAGUAACCAGUUUCUGUAACUCUGGGUCAGGUGUUGAAGGAUAGAUUUCGAAACCACAGAUGGAGUCCAGAAUGAGUAAAGAAAAAGCCAUCGGCAUGCAAUGGGGAAGCACUGUCAGGCCAUUCUUUUAGAUUUUCAUAAAUGGUAAAAUAAAUAUUAAGCUGUAAGAUGUGAAUCAAAAAAUGAGUUAAUACUUUUUUCCCCCCAAGAACUUUGACUUGGCUACUGGGUGGGCUACAGAGUGAACGAGUGUCAGACAUCUUCCAGGUGGCUCUUCGGGGAUGCAGCAGGGAGGAUUGGCACCUGUGUCAGGAAUGCUGAGAGCAGCUGGCUGCACAGCACUGGUACAAAACAAUCCCCUGGCCUCGUGCAUGAGUGACGCAUUGCCCGUGGCCUGGGUGUGUUGU